GUGCUUGCUUCAGCAGCACAUAUGCUAAAAUUGAAAUGAUGCAGAGAUUAGCAUGGCCCCUGAGCAAGGACGACACGCAAAUUCAUUAAGUGUUCCAUAUUUUU
rnacentral:snRNA from 1 species